GCAGCCAUGCCGCGUGUGUGAAGAAGGCCUUCGGGUUGUAAAGCACUUUCAGUUGUGAGGAAAAGUUAGUAGUUAAUACCUGCUAGCCGUGACGUUAACAACAGAAGAAGCACCGGCUAACUCCGUGCCAGCAGCCGCGGUAAU
rnacentral:rRNA from 1 species